rnacentral:tRNA from 1 species
ACCUGGCUGGCUCAGUCAGUAGAGCAUGUGACUCUUGAUCUCAGGGUUGUAAGUUCAAGCCCCACAUUGGGUG